AACGCGAAGAACCUUACCAAGGUUUGACAUGCAGGGAAAAGCCGUAGAGAUAUGGUGUCCGUAAGGGUCCUGCACAGGUGGUGCAUGGCUGUCGUCAGCUCGUGUCGUGAGAUGUUGGGUUAAGUCCCGCAACGAGCGCAACCCUCGUCCUAUGUUGCCAGCGGGUAAUGCCGGGGACUCAUAGGAGACUGCCGGGGUCAACUCGGAGGAAGGUGGGGAUGACGUCAAGUCCUCAUGCCCCUUAUGUCUUGGGCUGCAAACAUGCUACAAUGGCCAGUACAAAGGGUUGCGAGACCGCAAGGUGGAGCGAAUCCCAAAAAAGCUGGUCUCAGUUCGGAUUGGGGUCUGCAACUCGACCCCAUGAAGUCGGAGUCGCUAGUAAUCGCAGAUCAGCAACGCUGCGGUGAAUACGUUCCCGGGCCUUGUA
rnacentral:rRNA from 1 species